rnacentral:lncRNA from 1 species
GGAUGACACUAAAAUGUAUCAUUUCCUAAGGAGAAUGACAGCAAUUAAGGAACGGGGGCCUCAACCUCAGAGAUGGACUUUUAGAGAAAGUAAUGGAACAAGCUGGAUAUCAGAUCUCCCUCAGCCUCCAUCACUGCGGAGACGGGACUUUUCUUGUACCCAGAACUCUCAAGUGGGUCAAAUUUGCACAACCUUUGUGAAAGGUGUUUCUGGGAGUUGAUGGGUAAGUUCAGUGUUGAGGAUUAUUAG